GAUACACAAAAACCCACUCUUCACUCUUCAAAUCUCAUUUAUAGAUCUGAGAUCUCAUAUUCAUUAUUCAUCUUUUUCUUUUUUUUUAAAGGUGUUUCAUGAUUCAUUUUGCUUUCUCAAUUUCUCUACUCACACAACUGGUUCGGUUGCUCGUUUUGCCCCCACAACAACACCGAUCAUUUUCUUUAGUGAAACGGGUAUUGGAAUUGUUACUGAAUUACCAAUCCCAAAAUGACAAGUUGCAGGGAAUUGGCAGUUUUGGUUGUAGUAAGAUUGGAUUCUUGAGGUGGCUCUUUUGGUUGUCCAUGUGCUGCUCCUAAGCCUGUCAGUGGUUAUCUUUUUGUAAUGACUAUCCACUUCUUCUGGUUCACUGGUAAGAAUUAUAUGAGUCUAUUAAAAAAAAAAAAAAAAAUUCUUCAACUUCUAAAGAAGUCAUGUCUUAUGAAAAAAAAAAUUGAUAUUUACUUAUUCUUACAGAUUGUAAGAUAUUGGUAAGGGUAUGAUUUGGGCUUAUAGUUGGCAAGGGUAUGCCUAACAGGUUCAUGAUGCAGGGGGAUGCCCUUCUUAAUACUUGAAAUUAAUACCUUAUGCCUAGCAGGUUCACAAUGUAUAGGGGGAUGGCCCUCUUAAUACUUGUAAUGUUACUUUUCUAAUAUGUAAGAAAAUGCUUGGGGUAUGCUCUGGGCUAUAAUUGUGCUGAAUUGUUUCUUUGUAUGAUUUUGUUUUACGUAGUAUUUAGCUUUGUUUAAUA